rnacentral:ncRNA from 1 species
CCCAGGAGUAGAAGCGUUCAGCGUUGGCCAGCCCGGCGCCCGGAAAUUGCUCUGGAA